UGUGUUGAGGAAGAUAAUGACGGUACUCAACAAGGAAGUGACGGCUAACUACGUGCCAGCAGCCGCGGUAAAACGUAGGUCACAAGCGUUGUCCGGAAUUACUGGGUGUAAAGGGAGCGCAGGCGGGAGAACAAGUUGGAAGUGAAAUCCAUGGGCUCAACCCAUGAACUGCUUUCAAAACUGUUUUUCUUGAGUAGUGCAGAGGUAGGCGGAAUUCCCGGUGUAGCGGUGGAAUGCGUAGAUAUCGGGAGGAACACCAGUGGCGAAGGCGGCCUACUGGGCACCAACUGACGCUGAGGCUCGAAAGUGUGGGUAGCAAACAGGAUUAGAUACCCUGGUAGUCCACACCGUAAACGAUGAUUACUAGGUGUUGGAGGAUUGACCCCUUCAGUGCCGCAGUUAACACAAUAAGUAAUCCACCUGGGGAGUACGACCGCAAGGUUGAAACUCAAAGGAAUUGACGGGGGCCCGCACAAGCAGUGGAGUAUGUGGUUUAAUUCGACGCAACGCGAAGAACCUUACCAAGUCUUGACAUCCCUUGACGAUGCUGGAAACAGUAUUUCUCUUCGGAGCAAGGAGACAGGUGGUGCAUGGUUGUCGUCAGCUCGUGUCGUGAGAUGUUGGGUUAAGUCCCGCAACGAGCGCAACCCUUAUGGUCAGUUACUACGCAAGAGGACUCUGGCCRGACUGC
rnacentral:rRNA from 1 species